CAGCAGCCGCGGGAACACGUAGGGUGCAAGCGUUAAUCGGAAUUACUGGGCGUAAAGCGUGCGCAGGCGGUUAUAUAAGACAGAUGUGAAAUCCCCGGGCUCAACCUGGGAACUGCAUUUGUGACUGUAUAGCUAGAGUACGGCAGAGGGGGAUGGAAUUCCGCGUGUAGCAGUGAAAUGCGUAGAUAUGCGGAGGAACACCGAUGGCGAAGGCAAUCCCCUGGGCCUGUACUGACGCUCAUGCACGAAAGCGUGGGGAGCAAACAGGAUUAGAUACCCCAGUAGUCCCUGUCUCUUAUAA
rnacentral:rRNA from 1 species